CCUACGGGAGGCAGCAGUGGGGAAUAUUGGGCAAUGGAGGAAACUCUGACCCAGCAACGCCGCGUGAGUGAUGAAGGUCUUCGGAUUGUAAAGCUCUUUUCUAAGGGAAGAAGAAAGUGACGGUACCUUAGGAAUAAGCCUCGGCUAACUACGUGCCAGCAGCCGCGGUAAUACGUAGGAGGCAAGCGCUACCCGGAAUGACGGGGCGAAGGGUUGCCGAGGGGGGUUGACAAGUUGGUAGCGUAACUCCGGGGCUCAACCUCGGCACUACUAACCAAACUGUCGGACUUGAGUGCAGGAGGGGCAAAUGGAAUUCCUAGUGUAGCGGUGGAAUGCGUAGAUAUUAGGAGGAACACCAGUGGCGAAGGCGAUUUGCUGGACUGUAACUGACACUGAGGCACGAAAGCGUGGGGAGCAAACAGGAUUAGAUACCCCUGUAGUC
rnacentral:rRNA from 1 species